rnacentral:rRNA from 1 species
AGUGAACGCUGGCGGUAGGCCUAACACAUGCAAGUCGAACGGCAGCACAGUUAGAGGUUGCUCUUACGGGUGGCGAGUGACGGACGGGUGAGGUAUACAUCGGGAUCUACUUUUUCGUGGGGGAUAACGUAGGGAAACUUACGCUAAUACCGCAUACGACCUUGGGGUGAAUGGAGGGGAUCUUCGGGCUUUGGGCGAAUGAAUGAGCCGAUGUCGGAUUAGCUAGUUGGCGGGGUAAAGGCCCACCAAGGCGACGAUCCGUAGCUGGUCUGAGAGGAUGAUCAGCCACACUGGAAGUGAGACACGGUCCAGACUCCUACGGGAGGCCGCAGUGGGGAAUAUUGGCCAAUGGGCGCAAGCCUGAUCCAGCCAUGCCGCGUGGGUGAAGAAGGCCUUCGGGUUGUAAAGCCCUUUUGUUGGUAAAGAAAAGCAGCAGGUUAAUACCCCGCUGUUCUGACGGUACCCAAAGAAUAAGCACCGGCUAACUUCGUG